AGAUUUGUCCGAAUAUUAUGUAGCCUUGGCCACCACUCAGCAAACAGGAGGGAGGUGAAAAACGCUUCCGGACGAAUUUUGCUGUGGAAAGCACUUUAGAGUCUGCAACCGUGGCAGCCCUGCUGAGCGCAGUAUGGAAGAGGCCACUGACUGCUGUCCCUCGCGGCGGCGCUGCAGUGACAGCCUCGGCGCCACACUGCCCCCUCGCGGCUGCUGCGAUGAAGUGCGCUGCGCUCUCUGGCUCCGCCGGAGCACGGACCCCGCGCACCCAGGGGCUUUGGUCUAGAGGUCGAGGGCAGCCUGGACUAUGUAGCAAGCCCCCGUCUUUGAAAACAAAAGCAAAAGAAGAAAAAGAUUGCAGGAGAGCUUUGCUGCUAUUGGCUCACCACCUCCCUGAAAGGUCACCCGGCGGCCAAAGGAAGGAGCAGGAAGGGGAAGCUGCUCCUCAGGAGGCGCCGCCUCCCUGCUGAUCUGGCCUUAGAGGAGAAGCCUGGAUCCCAGGAGUGGACUCCGGCCCGGCUGGGAGGCGGAGCUGUCCAAGUGCUGCCCACAGCCCCCGCCACCAGUGACAGUGACCCUGAAACGCGUGCCCUGCCUGGCUGACAUCUGCUGCGGGUGGGGGGCGGCCAUUCAGCCGAGCAGGUGGGGGCGGCGGUGGAGAAGGAAUGAGGGGCUCCUGCUCUUCUAAAUCCACCUGGUCCAAGCGCAGUAAUCUUUUUCCUCCCCUGCUACUGGAGACCGAGCCUAGGGACUUUUCUGCAAGACCCCAGAGAUCUCGGCUGGGUUCCAGCCUUGUGGCCACAUAGUGACUGACUCUGUGCGUCGCCUGUGUGAGACAGAGAUGGGUGUGUGGCAAAAUCCUGAAAAGGUUCAUCAGGACUUUGGUGGAUGGAGAUCAGAUCAAGGUUACCCUCUGAAGGAAGUUCCCGCCAAGCCCUUAUGGAAGGAAGAAGAUCAAAGCUUUUCUGAUGACUUCACACAGUGGGGUGUGGUAAGGUCACCCUGGUCCUGCUGGGCACUGCUAUUUCAUUCUUCUGUGACAGAGUCUCCCACCUCAUAGUCCAGGCUGGCCUUGGACUGGUGAUUCUCCUGCUUCAGCCUCUCACCUGCUGGGACCACAGGUCUGCAUUACCAUGCCCAGUUAUUCCUUUUCAUGCUUGAGUAAAAUUCUGUUGCAAAGCUCUUAGGUUUUUCUAAAAUCCAUUUUUGGCUAUUAAGAGUAAUGCUGAUUUGAACAAUCAUGGACAGGUUUUGUUUUGAUGCACGUUUCUUUCUUAAACUCAAAGGUGGAAUUGUGGGGCACACAGUCAUUGUUUGUUUAGCUUUUGAGAAAGUGUGGAGCUGUUUUCUUUUUCUUUCCUUUCCUCCUUUGUGGGGAACCACCCAGACAAAUCUUCUUGACUCUCUUUGAAAAGAAGAGCAACUGUCUCCAUUUGGAUAAAUUUGGCCCUAUCUCCAUGUAUGGAGCUGGCUAGGCUAAUUCUCUGUCCCUUCAAUUGGCUUUCUAGCAAUGUAAAUUGGGCUGGCUGAGGAGCUGAUGUGUAAUCUCUGAAGCAAAAUGACAGGUCAGUGUUUUCUCACCCAGUGGUUGAGCCAGGCGGGAUACAGAGCCAUGCUCCAUGCUGUCAGCAAGCACUGAGCCUCGAGAAAGAGGCUAUGACUUCCCAGGGCAAAAAGGAUUGUAUGUCAUAACUGAAGCACCGGCCCCACAUUACCAGACACUACCUCACGUGUGUUACACAGAUUCCCCUCUCUGCAUUUCUUGCCCUCUGCAUAUUACAGAGAUGAUUCUCAGACCUCCUACCUGGCCCAGCUCGUGACACUCACAUUUCCCACCACUCUGUCACUCAUCCCCGAGCCACUCCUUAGUGGAAAAUUAAAAUCUGGGUUGGGUUCUGGGGAUGGCCUUUGUUCUUGUGAACCACCAUCUUGACUGGACUGAGGACCCUUGGUUUCCCAUAACUGUUAUAUAUGUCGUAGUGUCUUUAUUCUUGCCUUGGGCUGCCCUGGAAGUGGUAGAUUGGAAUUAACUCACUAGAAUUCCAAUAUAUUCUCCUUGAGAUUACAAACAUAAACCUUCCUAGACCAUGAGGAGGAUGGGAAAGGGAUGUCUACUCCCUCCCAUCCUUUCUUCCACUGCUAAACUCUCCCACUGCAGCUAUACCAGUUCACAUUUCUACUAGUCAGUGUUUUCCCACAUCCUCGACAACACUAGUUAUUAUUAGGUUUUUCUGAAAGCUGUGUUAGGAAACAAGAAACUGCUGGCUAUGCUGUCAUGGAGAUUUCCACCUCUGUUGCCUUUUACAGUUUGCACUCUUACGUGCACCUACAUCCCGAGCAGUUUUUGUACAUGGUGUGACAAGAGCCCCAGACCAGACCCAUUCUUUUGCACCUGACAUCCAAUUGUCUCCCACAGCAUUCAUAGGCAAGAUUAUUCUUCCCCACUGAAAGGUCCUUUUGUGCUUGUCAUGGAUCAGUUGACUCUCGAUGUGUGGGUCAGUUUCUAGACUCACAGGUUAAUUCCAUCAUACUGACUUUUUACUGCCGGAAUUAUUUUAUUCAACAUUUCAUCUCUAAAACUUCCCUAAUUACUUGUUAUUAUUCAGUUGAUGGAAAUGAACCAAAAUCAAAUAUUUUGUGAAAAUGUUUACUAAAUAGCUUCAUUCUAAUAGUACUACAUUAGACUAUAUUAUAGUUAUAUUCUUUGCUAGUAGAAUAAUUUCUAAAGCUAUGAGUUGAGUUGGGGAUGUAGCUCACUAACAGAGUGCUUGCCUAGCACAUGUGAGGUGCUGAGUUCAAUUCAUGGCACUAAAAAGAUAAAAAUAAACAAAGCUAUAAAUUUAUGAGACAGCAGGAACCCAUUUCAAUAUUUCAGAAGAGGAAAGUAUGAUACAAAAUAUAAUUACACACUAUACUACACAUUAUAAAUGAAAAGAUGAAGUAAUUAUUUUAUUACUUUACUACUUCACAAAUGUAUGUACAGUAAGAUUAAAAUACUAACAAUUGGGGGCUGGGGAUUUAGCUCAGCGCCAUAGCGCCUGCCUUGUAAGCAGGCAGUCGUGAGUUCGAUCCCCAGUACUGAUAAACAAGAAAAAGACCAAAAAAAAAAAAAAAAUACUAACAAUUGUGUGCCAGGCACUGAGGUGCUUGCCUGCAAUCGUAGCUCCUCAGGAGGGUGAGGAAAGAGUAUCACAAGCUGGAGACCAGGCUGGGUAAUUUAGGGAGAUUGUCUUAAAAUAAAAGAGAAAAAGGGCACAGUGUUGUAAGUCCAUCAAUACUUCUUUUUUUUUUUUUUUUUUUUUUUUUUUUAAAUAAGUUCUAUGUAUCCCGAGCCAGCCUCCAACUCAUGAUCCCUCUGCCUCCGGAGGAUACAGGCCAGCAUUCACCACUCCCAUUUAUUCCAUUUUUGGUCGAAUAGAAUCCCACGUUACACAAGGCCGUGUUUUUCAAAAUCCACUUUUCAUUGUUGGGCCUGUCUACCUCCCAGGGGCAUUCUGAGCAAGCCAGCAUUCGACUAAUACUGGCUUGCUCACUCACCUGAGGCUCAUGCUCCUUGGAUUUAAUGGCUGAGCACGCACGUGUUAGCGAUGGAGCAGGCACAGAGGCCCAAGCCCUCUGUGGGGUGGAGCACAGCUCCUCUCCCCGUGCCCAGCCUCUCUCUCGGAUGUGGCUCCUGGCGCCUUGUUAUCCAGUUAGUAUAACUCUGGGAAGAGCAUGACACAAAUCAAAGUACAAAACCUGGGUCUGGCUGGCAUCAACAGACUCAUGUGAGAGAAGAGAUUUUUCUCUUCUUGACAUGCAAGCUGCGUCUGUCCAAGUCCCCGCUGGUCACUGGCCAUGAUUUCCAUGGGUGUUCGUGGGUGACUUUCAGCGUCUGUGUAUUCAGAGGACGGUGCCACUGAGACAUCAGUUCAUUACACGGCGCCUUCUUCACAGGCCUCACGUCUGUUUUUUGUUUCUGAAACAAGGUCUCACUAAGUAGCCCAGGCUGGCCUCACAAUUGGUGGGAAUCCUCCUUUUUCAGGCACCUGUAUGUUAGGAUCACAGUCCUCCACCACUGCGCCCGGCCCUCCUCACGUCUAUUUUAAUUGUGAUCCCUUACUGAAGUCACCGGAAAGUGACCCACGCCUAGUUUCUGCCCCAGGUCCCAAGUCCCAGUCCUUACAAAUACAAAAACAUGCGCUUGCGCUUUAAUGCUUGGGGGGGGGGGUCAGGGGUCACCCAGAUUUUGUCAUUAGGAGCCCACCGGAGGAUGGGGCUCGUCAGAAGAGGCUAGGACAGCUCAGAUAGCUGAGGUAACAGAGAUCCUGACAGGACAGCUCUCGGCGGGCUUUGCAGCGCUGGCCUGCAGCAGGUCAGAAAGGCUUCCAGGAUGCGCCCGCGGGCCCUGCAGUUCCGAUGCAGCCGGACAGAGGGCGACGCUGCGCCCGAGCCUGCGCCGAUGGCCGCGUCCGCCAGCUACGCCAGCGCUCCUGCUCUAUUUGCAAGACGUGGGUAUUUUCAAACAGUCAUGUACAAAUAUUUCUCCCGCGGCACGCUAAGAAAGUGAGAACUGCAGAAGGAAGCGCAGACGUGAAGCUCCGCUCUUCCAUUCGUUCUCUUCCGCAGGGAUGAGGCGCUGCGCAUGCGGCUCCUGGGGGCGGCGUUCAAAGCCCCAGCACGCGGAAGGCGUCGCGCAGGUCGUCCACCUCGUAGAGCGGCUGCGGGGACAGGGCGGCCUCGUGAGCGAGCGGAGCUGGGCGGGGCUCCGCGCGGGGGUGACGCUGUGACAGCUUGUUCUACAGAAGGGGAUCUGGGGUGGGACAGGGCAGGGCAGGCAGGAGGAGGAGGAGGAGGAGCACUAUGGCGGGCCCAGAGAUGCCCUGAAGCCGCUUACCAACAGGAUGCGCCGCAGCUGUCUGGACAGACGGACCGAGUUCUCGUGCAGCCCCUCCCAGGCCUUGAAUGUUUUCUCACGGUUCGCGACGAAAGUGUUCCAGCAGUAAAAAUAAUCUUUAACAAAAAAGGAGGUGGGGAGAAGAUAGUUUAGGUCCUGAAUGGGGAGGAGAGAAACAAACCUUGACCACCACCACCCCCAGUUCCUCUUCCCCAGGGCUUUGUGUCCAGGACGUCUGUCUUUCCCCUUGGGUUCUGAUUGCCAAGGGAGCUCGGCUAGAAUCGAGCGCUCUGGGAGGCUGCGGGAAGAGCAUCGCAAGUUUGAGUACAGUCUGGGCAACAUAGCAAGAGCCUGUCCCAACCAACAAGCACCUGCCAAGAAAGAUGCCGGGGAGCCGUGGUGUCCCCGCGGGUCCCGCGCUGCCCUCGACCCAGCCCGCCCGCUCCCUCACACCUUUGAAGGUCAUGACCGCGAUCUGGACACCCGCGCGGUGCAGCCGCCGCAGCCCCUCGGGCUCCGCCUUGCGGUCCUCGCAGAAGUAGAGCCGCGCGGUGAAGAUGCGCAGGCUGAGGUUCGGGUUCCCGCGCAGGAAGUCGGCCACGUGCCGCGCGCAGUCGUAGCAGGGGCUCCAGGACGUGAACCAGGUGACGCGGUAGCAGCGGCCCGGGUCCAGGUCCCAGUCGGAGAUGUAGCGCAGGAACAGCAGCUCCACGUGGCAGCCGGCCUGCGGGCACAGCGGGGCGUGGUGACCGCACGGCUCGGGGCGAGGCCAGCCGAAGCUCCGUGGAGCAGAGGCUGCGGCUCGGCCCUGGUUUGUGUGGAGGAGGAGAUGCAGGAGCCGGCGCCGAGGUCUGCGUGGGCAGCGCUGUGGAGCCGCCGGCGGCCACCAGGAGGCGCCAGAGCCCGCGAGGAUAUUUGAAAAAUCACUGACCCGCAUCGUUCUGGAGACUAAAAGGUGGUGAAACUCCGGGAGGACUUCGACCCCUCCCAGUUCCUUCCCUUGUGGAGGCGUCGCGGGUCCAACCCAGUGACCAAGCAAGAACACGGCGCUGCGGAGCUGCGGAGCUGCGGGUGGAAGUGCGUCCAACCUGGACAUCGGCGCGGAGCACCGCCUUUCUGCACGCUCUCAGGCUGGCCUCCAAGUCACAAUCCACCUGCUUCAUCGUCCCAGCUGCUGGAAUUACAGGUGGUUUUCCAGGACUAAAAUCAAUCAGAUUGUGGUCAGUGUUGUGAGCACAUUUGCUGAGUGCUGCUCUAUCAGUUCAGGAUACACCCCUGUGAAAAGUUUUUGUUGUGAAGAUGCCUAGACAACUCUGCCUUGUAUGGCUGAAGGAACUGUGUUGUUUUAAAUGAGGAAUUGUGAGGAAGACUUGUCUGGCUCAGACUGGUAGAAACCAGAAUCUCUCAUCUGGAUUUGCAAAGAAUGCUCACCAGUGAACUUUGACAAAAGCCAAACCCCCAUCCUCAGCUCUCACUGGCACCCCAUUUUCUGAAUAUGCUUCCUAUGAGGAGCCUUGAUGCUUGCCUCACCAAGUACGGUUCACCAACCACUUAGCUUCUCCCAGCUUUCAGCUUCCUUCCUCACACUGAGUGGUUUUUCUGUCACAUAAAUGCCACUGACCCUUACCUAGCCUUGAACCCAGAGACUCCAGUCUCCCCACAUCUGGCUCCCUCCUAAUUAAACUCCCAUCUCUUUUGCAAACUCCGCUUUCUGAAGGUGGAGAGACAGAGGCUCCUUUGCCAACAUCCUACCUGAAAGGUCAUAAUUUCUUCCAGAUGGAGCCCAGAUCAAAGACAUGUCGGUUACCCCAGCCAUUGUCUACCAAAUUUCUUGGAAAGUGGGUGCUCACGAAAUGCUCACACAGGUAGACAGCAAAAUCACUUGGACUUUGCCAGUGCAGAGAGCCCCACAGUGUUGCUGCGUUCAUCCAAAGUCACACAAGGAAAAUCAAUAAGAUGAAAGAAACACUUCCUAGGAAAGUUUACUUGCAGAGCAUGUUCGGGAAGUCAUGGAAAUACAUACAUUUUCCAAUGGAAAAACACACUUUCUCUCUUCUUAGUGAAGCUUUGCUUCUAACCUGAAAUGAUACUCCAGCGACAGCGGCUCAUUUCUGUUACAACUGCGACUCCUCUGCCUUCUGCGAAUCACAACAUCCCCCACCUGCUGUCCACUGCAAGGAUGAAUGCCUGAGACACUAGUCCUCAUCAAGAGGCAUCACCAUGACUCUCUUGAGCUGUGAUGGAAAGAUCCCUACACUGUGGUCCUCAGCACUCUAACUGCUGUCAAAGUCGCUGAAAAGCCCGCCUGGAUUCCUCAUUCCCACUUCAAGCUUGUCCCAGCCUCUGAUGGUGAUCAACCUACAGAUAAGUGAACUGUCAUUUCCUCCAAGGACUCUUUAAAGCUUAAGAUUGCCAAAUAUAUCUGAUAAUCUUAUGUGUUCUCCCUUAUGGAGAACCAAGGAGGCCUCUGUCUGUCUUUAGAAAAAAUUGUUGCUUGUAUGCCAAUCAUUCUGGAGUCAUCAGGCAAAACAUGGCUAACCUCAGAAAGUGACUGCAAGAACAAGCCAGGCAGGCAGAACACAGCUAAUUUAAAUGUUGGUUUUCUUUCUCUCUUUGGUUAACAGCUUUAAUAAUGGUGGCUGCAAGACUUUUGUUAAUCCUGCUAUUGGGCCUUGUAUUAUAAACAAAUUGGUAAACUGUGUGAAAGAUUGGGUUCAAACUAUUAAGCUUAUGAUUUUAAAGACACAAGGCUCUAAAUAAAUACCUAUGUCUGAAAACCCCAUGAGCCAAUGAUUUGGAUUAUUAACAAAAAUCAGUGGGGAAUGUUAUACACUAACAAAAAGAGCUUUGUUAUGUUUGUCUUAUGUUUGCCAAUGCCCAUGAUAUGUGACCAAAUUACUUGUUAAUUCCCUUUGCAAACGCAACUAUUUUCUACAACCAGACACCAUGGGGCACUGACCACAUUGUUAAUAGCUAUAGCACCAUCAUAUUCUUCUGUAUACGCCAUCUUCCUGGGUGACCUGAUUGAUAGGUUAACCAUUACUGCCUUCUGCAAAGGACAGAUGUUAUGUAAAAUUAAGUGCUAAAAUUAGUUGACAAAGGAUUGUAAAUUCCUGUGAGACCUCUCUGUCCUCUGCAAAGGGAAACAAAGGUCUUCCUCAUGCCUUAGUGGAUCAAGGAUUUUCUCAUCUCCUGAUCCACACCCAUAAACCAUUCAGUUUGUAAUUGCUCUUUCUAAAAAAAGUCUGUGAAAGUUUUAAGUAAGUCACACAGCUUUGUGAACUCCAACUUCACUGUGUCCCUGGUACCAGGUAAAACAAUUCAGCAUUGCUUUUUCUUGAAAAACAUCUUGCCCCAUUUUUGGACACCAUGUUGGGGGGCUCGUUUUUGGCCUACAAGAGUCACUGGGUCAAAAUACUUGACACAUGCAAUUUAAAGGAAGAGAGGUUUAUUAUGGCUCAUUAUCUAGAAGUUUCAGUCUUUGCAUGUCUAGUGGCAUGAUGGAAGGAUCUGGGUGGGCAGAGGAGCCCUGCUCAUAUCAUGACCUGGAAACAAAGAGUGCCAGAGUGAGGUAGGAAGAAGGACAUACCCUUCUGGGUCAUGCCUUCUGUGACCCAUCUCUUUCCACCAGGCUCUACCUCUUAAUAGCAAGUCAACUGCAUCAUCCUCAUAGCCAAUCACUUUCCAGAAGCCUUGUCUCUGAGCACAGGAGCCUGGGGGACAUCUGGAUAUGCACCGUAACACUCAAUUGAGUUUGCUAAACAGUCACUGCAAGUCUGUUUUCUCCUUUUCCUCCCUGUCUUCCAAGGCUUCCCCUAUUUUAGUAUGUGGACACUUCGUAUUUCAUCUUGGGGGAAUGGGAGAAGGGACUUUGGUCUACAGUUCUCUCCUAAAUACAGUGACCUCCAAUAAGAAAUAACCUUGUCUCCAUGUGUUCACACCCUCUGCUGAUGUCCAUGUUCCAGUUCUAUGGCUUCCAGAUUCAGGUGGGUUAGCAUUCUGCACUCCUUCACUUGUAAAAGCCCUCUGACAUCCCAGGCUUGUGCCACAUAGUAGGAGCCAGUAAUGUUUCUUUCAAAUGUUUCCUACUGAGCCCACAUUAGAAUUCCUUUGGGCUUUUAGACCUUGUUUUGAGAAACAUUUUCUUCACGUUACUCUUUUGAUUCCACUUAAAUAUUAGAAAGUAGAUUUACGGUGUAGUACUUUAAGAUGGUGAAAUGAAUUCUACUAUGUAGACUAAAUAAAAAAGCUUGACUAAGGAUAUACAACUAUAAUAUAUGUAGUUUUUGCAGAUUUGUUCAAAAUUGCUACUGUUUUUGAAUGUCACUGAAGACUAUAAAAUCAGAGGCCCAAAUAUAUAGGUAAUAUAGUUUGUAGAGAAACAAAGUAGUUCAGGAUGAACAAUAGUCCACUUGGUAUCAAAAGCUUGAAUGCACUUCAACCAGAAUGGGGUGAUCCAGUGUCUUCUAUACGUUCUUCUCUGCCCAAGGAUGAACAAGGUUUUCAUGCUCUUUUUUCACCAAGUUCAUGGCAUAAAUGUGAUCUGUUUUCUUACAGCAAACUAGUAGUGUCUGAGUGAAGUUUCCUCUCUCUAAUUCUCAAACAAAAUCAAAGUCAGGAAGACCUAAAAAGAGUACAAAGCUCUGCCAUUGUCCUUGCUAUUAUUUGCCUCAUCCUCUUCAUCCAUUUCUUGCAUACCUUCAUGGCUUUCAGGAUUUGAUGAGACUACUAUCUGUGUGGGGUCUACAGCGAUGGAAAAUAGUUUUGUUUGCAUCAUGCAUUCAUCAUGCAAAGAAUGUGCCUGCAUUGAACAAGUGUGUGGUACUCUGCAGCAGAAGUUUGUAGUUCAUACAUUUGUACAGCUUGCAACCAAACGGGCCCAUCAAGUAUGAGCAGAUGGCAAUAUUAGCAUGCUUGCUGAAUCACUGAGAUGAAAAAGAGUGGCCAUUAGCACAAUGAACCUUUCUCCAGCAGAGACCAGCUCUGGGGAGAUGGAGUUAUCUUCCGGAGAAGGGAAGAUAGGAUGUUCUGACACAUAAGAUACCUGAGGAGUUUUGGUGCAAAAGGCACUUGAGGAGAUUUUGGCAGCCAGUGUGCUUUAGGAGGUUGUAGUAUCCAAAGGACCCAACGAAGGUAGCAAGGCACUUCAGGAGUUUCAGUUACAAAAAGGACUGUGGUAUGGUCUGAUACACAAGACAUCUUAGGGGGCUCUUUUAUGCAGGAUACCUUAGAAUAUUCUGUUAAGCAAGGCAGUUUACAAGAGCCUGACACAGAAGGCACCUUAUGAUAUUCUAUAAUGUAAAGUACUUUAGGACGUUCUGGUAUGCCAGGCACUGUAAGUGGUUCUGGUAUACAAGGGGCCUGAGGAAGUUCUUUAGGGCAAGGUACUUGAGGAGCUUCUGUUACAAGAUGACUUCAAUAUGUUGUGGUACACGUGGCACCAUAGAAGCUACCAAUACACAAGGCACACUAAGAGGUUCUGAUACAUGAAGCACCUUAGGAGUUUCUGGUAUGCCAGGCACCUGAGGUUGUUCAGAAAUGCAUGACACCUUGGAAGGUUGUGGUUCCUAAGGCAGCUUAGGAUGUUUUGGUGUGCCAGGUGCUUUAGGAGUAUCUUUUACCGAAAGUGUUUUACUAUGUUGUGUUGCACAAGGCAUCUUAGGAGGCUCGUAUGCCAGGCACCUUAGGAUGAUCUGUUAUACAAAGCACCUUGAGAGGUUCUUGCCCACUGGUGACUUUAGCAUAUUCAGAUGUGCAAAGCACUUUAGGAUGGUCUGCCAUAUAAGGCACUUGAGGAGGUUGUGGUACAUCAGGCACUUUAGGUGAUUCUGCUAUACAAAGGACCUGUGGAAAUUCUGAUAGGCAAAGUAAAUUGGUAAGUUCUAUUACUGAAAGUGCUUGAGUGUGUUCUGGUAUGCAACACACCUUAGGAGGUUCUGGUAUACAACAUAUCUGAGGAGAUUCUGGAAACAAGGUAUCUUGGUAGUUCCUGACAACCAGGGUAGUUUAGGGGGCUCCAUUGCAGAAAUAGCUUUAGUGUGCUGUGUUACAAAUGCAUAUUAGAAGGCUGUGGUACCCUUGGCGCUUUAGCAUAUUCUGGUGGGCAAGCGACCCUAGGAGUUCCCAUUGCACAAGGCAACUUUGAAGGUUCCAUUAGACAAGACACCUUAGGAUGUUUUGGAUUGCCUGGCACGUUAGGAUGUUCUGGUAUGCAAGUCACGUUGCGACGUUUAGGUUCCUGAGGAACCCUAGGAGGUCCUGGUAUGUAAGACACUUGAGAUGAUUCUGGUAGACAAAGCACCCGAGUAAACUGUGCUAUGCAAGGUACCUUAGGAGGUUCCCUUACAGAAAGUGUUUCAGUAGAUACUGGUACACAAGGCGCCUUAGGAGGUUCUUCUAUGCCAGGCACUAUAUGAGAUUCUGGUACACAAGGCCCCUGAGGAAGUUGUGACAUGCAAGGAACCUUAGGAUGUUCUGUUAUGCAAGGUCUUUGAGGAGGUUCUGUUACACCAACCACUUCAGUAUGUUGUGGUACAAAUGGCCACUUAGGAGCUUGUGGUACCCAAGCACACUAAGAGGUUCUGAUACAUGAGGCGCCUUAGGAGUUUCUGGUAUGGCAGGCACCUGAGGUUGUUCAGAAAUGCAUGACACCUUGGGAGGUUCUGGUCCAUAAGGAAGCUUAGAAUGUUGUGGUGUUCCAGGUGCCUUAGGGGUAUCUGUUACCGAAAGCACUUUAGUAUAUUGUGCUGAACAAGUUAUCUUAGGAGGGUCUGGUAUGCCAGGCACCUUAGGAUGAUCUGUUAUACAAAGCACCUUGGGAGAUUCUUGCCCACAGGUGACUUUAGCAUAUUCAGAUGUGCAAAGCACUUUAAGAUGCUCUGGUAUAUAAGACAAUUUACGAGGUUCUGGUAUGUCAGGCACUUUAGGUGAAUCUGGUACACAAAGCACCUGUGAAAAUUCUGAUCUGCAAAGUACAUUUGUAAGUUCCAUUACUGAAAGUGGUUGAGUGUGUUCUGGUAUUCAUCGCACCUUAGGAGAUUCUGAAAAACAAGGUACCGUGGUAGUUCCUGACAACCAAGGUUGUUUAGGGGGCUCCAUUGCAGAAAUAGCUUUAGUGUGCUGUGUUACACAAGGCACAUUAAUAAGCUGUGGUCCCUUCGGCACUUUAGCAUAUUCUGGUGGGCAAGCGAACCUAGGAGUUCCUGUUGCACAGGCAACUUUAAAGGUACCGGUACACAAGACACCUUAGUAAGUGUUGGAAUGCCUGGCACAUUAGGAUGUGCUGGUGUGCAAGUCACUUUGCGAGGUAUUGGUUCCUGAGGCACUGUAGAGGGUACUGGUUCUUGGCACUUGAGGUGAUUGUGGUACACAAAGCACCCGAGGAAACUGCUAUGCAAGGUACCUUAGGAGGUUCCCUUACAGAAAAUGUUUCAGUAGCUUCUGGUACACAAGGCGCCUUAGGAGGUUCUUGUAUCCCAGGCAUUUUACAAGAUUCUGGAACUUAAGGCCCCUGAGGAGUUGUGGCAUGCACGGUCACUCAUGAAGUUCUUUCAGGCAAGGUACCUGAAGACCUUUUUUAAAAUUUUUUUUGUCUUUUUCCUUUUUAUUGGUACCGGGGAUCGAACUCACAACUGCCUGCUUGCAAGUCAGGUGCUUAUGACACUGAGGUAAACCUCCAGCCCCUGAAGACCCUUUGUUACAAGAAGGACUUGAAUAUGUUGUGCCUCACAGAUUGUUGAGAUUGCCAUAACUUUAUUUUUGAACCAAGAAACCAUUGACAUGGUUCAAAGUCAAAAGCAUGUGUUUUGGAGUAAGAACUGGUGGUCAACUUGAGGCCAGCUGGAUUACAUCAGCAUGGCCCUGAGUGUAGAUGCUCCACCUGAGGAAAGUUGCCAGCAUAAAUAGAGAGGUCUGAGAAGGAGAAGGAAGGCGUAAAUGCGUUAUUGCGUUGAGGCAUUGUGGGUUCUCCUAUGAGUUGCUGUUUGAGCCAUUGUUUCUCCUGGAGAAGCUCUGGUCCUCACAUCGAGCAUUGCUUCCUGGCUCCGGAGGGGAAGACAUGCCUCUUGGUCUCCAAGAUGAACUCAUCGUGCUGGCUUCCUGGCAAGUACCCAACUGUGCUUGUUGUCGGAGAAGCUCGGGGCCUCCAUGUCACUGAGGAUGGCUAUGGUGCUUUUCAGGAGAGCCCUGGUUUUUGUUGUGAGUGUACCUUCUCAGCUCCAGCAUAGAACCCUCAUCCCACCAGCACAGCUCUUUCACCCUGCUGGCAUGGACUUUGUGGCUUCCACCACUGACCUUUGGGCCUUCCCGGCAUGAAUCCAUAAAAGAGACCAGUGUGAGCCCUUCUUGUGGGCUCUGGACCUCCAGCUGGACUCAUGGGAGACAUUGUCAUGGGCUCUAUGUCUUCAUCUGGACUCAUGUGGGACCUUGUUGUGGGAUUUAGGCCCUUGGCUAAAUAUUCAAUGUCUUUGGUGUUGCGGAUAGAUUUCCUGCAUUUUCUUGUGUCAACUCCUGGUGACCAUUAUGAAAAUAAUAUUAAAAUCUCCUUGUCCUGAUUCUAAAUGUUCUCUGCACAACACCAUGUAAACUGACAUAGCUCUGAGUUCUCUGUCACCAUGCAUAUGUAACUGUUUUCAUUAGUUUUUGGUUUGUUCAAUAGUUUGUGAUUACUUUUCAUUACUUUCUUUUUGCAAAAAAUAGCAAAUAUGUACAUUUAUCUCUCCUUUCUUGUAGAAAAGGUUGCAUGAUGUAGAUACUUUCCUUCCUUUCUUCAUGCCUUCCUUGUUUCAUUUCACUUAGGCUAUAUUAUGGAAAUUAAUCUGUAUCAGGUCAUAAAUGUUUUUGUAGUUCUGUUUCCAUCAUGUGGAUAUAGCAUAAGUUGCUCAGUCCGUCUCCAGCCGAUGGGGAUAUUCCAGUCUUAAACUACUAGAAAAAGAUUCUGCAAUAAAUAACUUUGUGCGUAAA